AGCGAACGCUGGCGGAAUGCUUAACACAUGCAAGUCGCACGGGGGCUUCGGCCUUAGUGGCGGACGGGUGAGUAACGCGUAGGAAUGUGUCCGAGGGUGGGGGACAACAACUGGAAACGGUUGCUAAUACCCCAUAUGCUUUCGAGUGAAAUGGAUUUUUCCGCCUAAAGAGAAGCUUGCGGCUGAUUAGCUUGUUGGUGAGGUAAUGGCUCACCAAGGCGACGAUCAGUAUCUGGUUUGAGAGGAUGAUCAGACACACUGGAACUGAGACACGGUCCAGACUCCUACGGGAGGCAGCAGUGGGGAAUUUUCCGCAAUGGGCGAAAGCCUGACGGAGCAAUCUCGCGUGGGGGAUGACGGCCUAUGGGUUGUAAACCUCUUUUUUCAGGGAGGAACAAAAUGACGUGUACCUGAAGAAUAAGCAUCGGCUAACUCCGUG
rnacentral:rRNA from 1 species